CUACGGCUUCACCAGCACCACCCUGCUCUGCCCCAUAAAAGGCCGUAUCAGCUCUCCGCGCUGGGAAAACGGUGACGGGCUAGGGUUUCUCCUCCCCCUUGGGCGAAAGCUAGGGUUCCUCUGUUUCGACUGCAAAAGCUACGCCAUUCCAAGAAAAUUUGAGGAUUCUUGUCCUCCGAGUCUCUUCCAGAGGAGUUCGCCGAUGCUUCAAAGAUCUUUAGGGUGAUAGGAAAGAACGCUUACUUUCCUACAUGGCGAGGAAGGACCGAAUCCUGUUAUCGUAAAAUCUGGGAAUCAAAGCAAGAAGCUCUCCACUCAGGACAAAGCUCUGAUUGUUCAUGGUGACAUUAUUGAUUUGAUUCCUGGUGAUUAUUUAGUUAAGUAUGUAACCUGUCGGCAAUGAGCAUGCAUCUUCAUCAAAAACAGAUUCAAUCUUGUUACGAAAAGAAAAAAGACAUAUUGAAGAGGAGAGUUCAGCUGUCAAAAGGAAUCGACAUAUUGUUGAAGAUGAAACUUUGGAAAGAGCCUUGCAGGGGCUUGAGCUAUCUCUUCUUGCCAAGCAUAGAGCAUGAACUCCAGAGAUUGGAAAGAUUGGAGCUCAAAGAUAAUGAAGCAAUGGAGGAGCUAGUUGCCGAGGAGAAUGGUGUUGAGCUGGAGAAAGGAGCAUUCCCCCCACUGAAGGAUCUGUUACUGAUAAAUUUGUCCAAGUUGACUAGCUUCUAUAGGGGAGCCAGCAGCAAUAUUUCUUAGUCGGCCUUCACUGAAAUGGAUCAUGCUGGGGGACUGUCCAAGUUUGAAGAGGGUCCCAAUUGGCCCAGAAAAUGCACCAAAGCUAAAGAAGGUGCAUGUAGCAGGACAUGAUGUUGAAAGGUUCCAAAAUAUGGUGUGGGAAGAUGCAACAUCCCUUCCUGCUUUUGUAUCUGCAAAUCAGAUGCUGAAAGAGAUUCAGAUUAGACGGACGACUGUGGGGUAUGCUGUUUUCAGGUGCAAGCUUGGGGAAAUGGUGCUUAAUGUGCACUAUGAGGCGGUUGCAAAUUAGAUGGCCAGUUCGGUGGCAACCUUUGCAACCCCUAAUUCGUGUGGAGGGAUGAUUAGAGUGGCUUCGAGAGGAAGCCACAUGGAGGAAUUACCAUGUACUUUUCCUUUUUCCGUGCCGCUAAUGUCAUGAGCCCUUAUACUCUGAGACAAUGAUUAUUUUCAAUCCCGCACUAUGUGCCAAAUGUUGCAAUGUUUUCAUGUUUUAUUCAUUGCCUGAUUGUUUUAUUCUGCCGUUUGAUGGUACUAGGAUGG